CGUACACUCCUACGGGAGGCAGCAGUGGGGAAUAUUGCACAAUGGGCGCAAGCCUGAUGCAGCCAUGCCGCGUGUAUGAAGAAGGCCUUCGGGUUGUAAAGUACUUUCAGCGGGGAGGAAGGCGAUAAGGUUAAUAACCUUGUCGAUUGACGUUACCCGCAGAAGAAGCACCGGCUAACUCCGUGCCAGCAGCCGCGGUAAUACGGAGGGUGCAAGCGUUAAUCGGAAUUACUGGGCGUAAAGCGCACGCAGGCGGUCUGUCAAGUCGGAUGUGAAAUCCCCGGGCUCAACCUGGGAACUGCAUUCGAAACUGGCAGGCUAGAGGCUGGUAGAGGGGGGUAGAAUUCCAGGUGUAGCGGUGAAAUGCGUAGAGAUCUGGAGGAAUACCGGUGGCGAAGGCGGCCCCCUGGACAAAGACUGACGCUCAGGUGCGAAAGCGUGGGGAGCAAACAGGAUUAGAAACCCUUGUAGUCCCAUGAU
rnacentral:rRNA from 1 species